rnacentral:lncRNA from 1 species
AAAGAAGGACGGCACAUGCGACCCGCAAUGGACGAAAAAGAGCGGCGGGUCGCCGAUACACGUCUCUGUUUGUGUUUUUUUUGCUGUCGGUGUUCAAGUUGAGGGAAAAACAGAGGGCUCUGGUCGGCGUGCGAGCGGGUCCGACAGUCGUUCUAUCGCUUGCUGUAGCGUGUAGCGCCACGCCCAGUCGACAUCGCUCGACGCCGCCAAUGCCGCGGUGCAAUCCGCCGCGAGGCCAAACAGGUCGCCCCUGGCAUCGGGCGACACCUGCGACGAGCAUGGGUCGACGGCGGUGUGCGCGUCCAGGCGGCACGCGCCGACGCGCCAGAGAAAGAGGCCGACGACGCGUCGCGCAAUCUCGUACGUUGUCGCGGUGUGCUGCCUCGCAAUGGCAUCGUGCACAAAUCCGCCAAAGAGGCGGCGCACGGCUUCGGCCUCGAUAGCCGGCCAUCCCGCGUCGACAUGGCACGACGCGACAUUGUGGGCGGGACGGCGUGGCACGACGCUAUGCUCGGGCAUAACAACGACGCCCAGACCGUGGGCGCGCAUCAGCAGUACGGUGAUCACGUGUGCGACGACGGGCAGGGCGCGCUCCAUGUCAUCGCCGUCGCGUUCGGUCCAUACGCGCACCGCAAGGGCCUCGGCCGAUUCGUCGGCGCACGCGUGACCGCCCCCGUGACGCAUAUGCUCGACGAGCAGACUGACACAAAGGACCAUGAGCCUUGCGUCGCCGCCCGUCGCCGCCGCCAACACAGCCUCGGCAAACACCAUCGGGUGCAGCGGCCAGCCGCCGAGACGCACGCGCGCCCACGCCUCGGCCAAUCGUCGGCGCGUUCUGCUCCAUCGUGUGGGUUGGCACGCGAAAGCGCUCAAGGGCGGGGUCACGCGUAACACGACCCCGCCGGAUGGCGAGAUCGCCAAGGUGUGAUCGCCGUUUGUCUUUGCGUGUACCCACGGCCUCAAUGCCGCCGACGUGUGAAAGGAGAGAGCGCGUUCGGCGGCGAGCCGCUUUGCGAGAUAUUGCGGGCCACACAGCAGUGCGAGGUACGGAACGCGCGCCGUUGAGCCCAGGGCCACCAGGUCUGGCAGAGAGAGACGCGCGACCAAGGCAUCGGCCACCGGAGGAUGAUGCCACAAGAGGGCCUGCAGACCGACGGCAGCGCGGGAGGCCGAACAAACCGGCGGCGACGGCGGCGACAAAUGUGAGCGUGCCGUGUGGUGCAUCGAUGACCGUAGUUUGGCGUCGGGUGGUGGCUUGUGUGUUUCUUCCUCCUCUCUUUUCGCCUCUGACACGCGUGAUCCGCUCCCCCCCCCCAAAGCCAAAAGAGCGCGUUCUACCACGACGAUGCGAUGCGAGGGAAGACAGAAGGCAAACACACACAAAAAGGGCGCGUAAGGUCUGGCGGCAAUCUACGUCGACAAGGCGCCGGGCGGGCGUUUUCUGUCUUUCUGAUGGGGCGACGCAUAAGAGAGACACACACGGACCCCAUUUUUUUGAUCCUUGUCGUCGGUCUCUUUCGGGUGUGGCUUUUCGCCCGUGCGCCAAAUGCAUGCCCCUUUUUGCUGGGGCAAUUCACCACAGGAAAAAACCGG